rnacentral:tRNA from 1 species
ACCUAGCUGGCUUAGUCAGUAGAGCGUGUGACUCUUGACCUCAGGGUCUUAAGUUUAAGUCCCAUGCUGGGUA